rnacentral:rRNA from 1 species
UACGGGGGGGGGCAAGCGUUGUUCGGAAUUACUGGGCGUAAAGGGCUCGUAGGCGGCCAACUAAGUCAGACGUGAAAUCCCUCGGCUUAACCGGGGAACUGCGUCUGAUACUGGAUGGCUUGAGUUUGGGAGAGGGAUGCGGAAUUCCAGGUGUAGCGGUGAAAUGCGUAGAUAUCUGGAGGAACACCGGUGGCGAAGGCGGCGAUCCUGGACCAACACUGACGCUGAGGAGCGAAAGCCAGGGGAGCAAACGGG